GGGUGAGUAACACGUAUGCAACCUGCCCCUGUCAGGGGGACAACCCGCCGAAAGGCGGGCUAAACCCGCGUACAUGCCACCGGGGCAUCCCGGAGGCAGGAAAGGCUUCGGCCGGACAGGGAUGGGCAUGCGGCGCAUUAGGCAGUAGGCGGGGUAACGGCCCACCUAACCGACGAUGCGUAGGGGUUCUGAGAGGAAGGUCCCCCACACUGGUACUGAGACACGGACCAGACUCCUACGGGAGGCAGCAGUGAGGAAUAUUGGUCAAUGGUCGGGAGACUGAACCAGCCAAGCCGCGUGAGGGAGGAAGGUACAGAGUAUCGUAAACCUCUUUUGUCAGGGAACAAAGACUGGGACGCGUCCCCGGAUGAGUGUACCUGAAGAAAAAGCAUCGGCUAACUCCGUGCCAGCAGCCGCGGUAAUACGGAGGAUGCGAGCGUUAUUCGGAUUUAUUGGGUUUAAAGGGUGCGCAGGCGGUCUGUUAAGUCAGCGGUCAAAGCCCGGGGCUCAACCCCGGCCCGCCGUUGAAACUGGCAGUCUCGAGUUGGAGAGAAGUAUGCGGAAUGCGCGGUGUAGCGGUGAAAUGCAUAGAUAUCGCGCAGAACUCCGAUUGCGAAGGCAGCAUGCCGGCUCCACACUGACGCUGAGGCACGAAAGCGUGGGUAUCGAACAGGAUUAGAUACCCUGGUAGUCCACGCAGUAAACGAUGAAUGCUGGCUGUCCGGG
rnacentral:rRNA from 1 species